rnacentral:tRNA from 1 species
GCCAGCAUGGCACUGUGGUUUGAGUGUUGAACUACAACUCUGGAGACCUGGGUUCAAUUCCCAGAUUGGCC